rnacentral:lncRNA from 1 species
UGUUUGCAGCGUAGAGCAGGGCCGAAAGGGCGAAGGGAGCGACGUGGUGCCAGGACACCGCGGCCCCGAGCAGCUGCCGGUCCCAGGUGAGCAGGAAGAGCAGGGAGAGCACCAGCUUUGUCAGCUCGAUGAGAACCACCACGGACGAGGAGCUGAAGGGGAUCGUGCCAUCCACCUUGCACAGGGUGAGGAGCGGAGCGUGGGAGCCGUAUAUGGCCACAGAGGAGAGCAGCAUCAGCCCCCAAAGCCCGCGCUGCUCAGGGCUCCCACACACAGCCAUCUCCAGGCGGCAGCACAGAGGGCGAGAGCUGCCGCAGCGGGGGGAGGCCAUACAGACUCCCACCUCGGGACACUCAAAAGAGACCAAACGCCAUGAAUUUAAUGAGCCUGACUACAGCAGGCCGUUACCUGCCACGCUCCCCAUGCAGCAGAAGGGAACAGCUUUGCUCCUCCUGAAGGAGAGCAGCAGGACCUGCCUCCCCGGGACGCACCGCGUGCUCUGGCACGAUGUGGGCUCGGGGGGCACGGAGCCGCAGGGUCCGAGGGAGCGGAGGGGAGGCCCAAACACACCGGGCACGGACAGCGCGUGAGCGUCCCAGGAGCCGCUGCUCGCACCGGGCAGCCCCGCUACUCCCCUCCUUUCCGCAGCGCGCUCAGGUAGUCCCGCACCGUCUUCUCCACGUCGGGCACGGCGUAGUUCUGCGCGGCGUAGAUGCCGGUGCACGUCCCCACGGCGAAGCCCAGCACGGCCGAGAAGCGCAGCUUGGCCACCAGGUACCCGGCCAGGAAGCCCUUCAGGAAGGGGGAGGCCAGCAGCGAGCCGCCCUGCCCCACGCCGGCGUGCACCUCGUCCUCCACGCGCCGCUGCAGGCUCUCCAGCUGCCCCUUCAGCAGAGCCAGGUCCUUCAGCUUGGGCAGCGAGUCCUUAUCGUCCGCCAUGCUGCC